rnacentral:rRNA from 1 species
CGCGUAGGCGGCUAGGCAAGUCAGAUGUGAAAGCCCCGGGCUUAACUCGGGAAUUGCAUCUGAAACUGCUGUGCUUGAGUCCUGGAGGGGGUAGUGGAAUUCCCAGUGUAGCGGUGAAAUGCGUAGAUAUUGGGAGGAACACCUGCGGCGAAGGCGGCUACCUGGACAGUGACUGACGCUGAUGCGCGAAAGCUAGGGGAGCAAACGGGAUUAGAUACCCCGGUAGUCCUAGCCGUAAACGAUGGGCACUUGGUGUCGGGGGUAUUGAGUCCCCCGGUGCCGGAGUUAACACGUUAAGUGCCCCGCCUGGGGAGUACGGUCGCAAGACUGAA